rnacentral:rRNA from 1 species
GGGUUGUGAGGUUAAGCGACUAAGCGUACACGGUGGAUGCCCUGGCAGUCAGAGGCGAUGAAGGACGUGCUAAUCUGCGAUAAGCGUCGGUAAGGUGAUAUGAACCGUUAUAACCGGCGAUUUCCGAAUGGGGAAACCCAGUGUGAUUCGUCACACUAUCAUUAACUGAAUCCAUAGGUUAAUGAGGCGAACCGGGGGAACUGAAACAUCUAAGUACCCCGAGGAAAAGAAAUCAACCGAGAUUCCCCCAGUAGCGGCGAGCGAACGGGGAGCAGCCCAGAGCCUGAAUCAGUGUGUGUGUUAGUGGAAGCGUCUGGAAAGGCGCGCGAUACAGGGUGACAGCCCCGUACACAAAAAUGCACAUGCUGUGAGCUCGAUGAGUAGGGCGGGACACGUGGUAUCCUGUCUGAAUAUGGGGGGACCAUCCUCCAAGGCUAAAUACUCCUGACUGACCGAUAGUGAACCAGUACCGUGAGGGAAAGGCGAAAAGAACCCCGGCGAGGGGAGUGAAAAAGAACCUGAAACCGUGUACGUACAAGCAGUGGGAGCACGCUUAGGCGUGUGACUGCGUACCUUUUGUAUAAUGGGUCAGCGACUUAUAUUCUGUAGCAAGGUUAACCGAAUAGGGGAGCCGAAGGGAAACCGAGUCUUAACUGGGCGUUAAGUUGCAGGGUAUAGACCCGAAACCCGGUGAUCUAGCCAUGGGCAGGUUGAAGGUUGGGUAACACUAACUGGAGGACCGAACCGACUAAUGUUGAAAAAUUAGCGGAUGACUUGUGGCUGGGGGUGAAAGGCCAAUCAAACCGGGAGAUAGCUGGUUCUCCCCGAAAGCUAUUUAGGUAGCGCCUCGUGAAUUCAUCUCCGGGGGUAGAGCACUGUUUCGGCAAGGGGGUCAUCCCGACUUACCAACCCGAUGCAAACUGCGAAUACCGGAGAAUGUUAUCACGGGAGACACACGGCGGGUGCUAACGUCCGUCGUGAAGAGGGAAACAACCCAGACCGCCAGCUAAGGUCCCAAAGUCAUGGUUAAGUGGGAAACGAUGUGGGAAGGCCCAGACAGCCAGGAUGUUGGCUUAGAAGCAGCCAUCAUUUAAAGAAAGCGUAAUAGCUCACUGGUCGAGUCGGCCUGCGCGGAAGAUGUAACGGGGCUAAACCAUGCACCGAAGCUGCGGCAGCGACGCUUAUGCGUUGUUGGGUAGGGGAGCGUUCUGUAAGCCUGUGAAGGUGUACUGUGAGGUAUGCUGGAGGUAUCAGAAGUGCGAAUGCUGACAUAAGUAACGAUAAAGCGGGUGAAAAGCCCGCUCGCCGGAAGACCAAGGGUUCCUGUCCAACGUUAAUCGGGGCAGGGUGAGUCGACCCCUAAGGCGAGGCCGAAAGGCGUAGUCGAUGGGAAACAGGUUAAUAUUCCUGUACUUGGUGUUACUGCGAAGGGGGGACGGAGAAGGCUAUGUUGGCCGGGCGACGGUUGUCCCGGUUUAAGCGUGUAGGCUGGUUUUCCAGGCAAAUCCGGAAAAUCAAGGCUGAGGCGUGAUGACGAGGCACUACGGUGCUGAAGCAACAAAUGCCCUGCUUCCAGGAAAAGCCUCUAAGCAUCAGGUAACAUCAAAUCGUACCCCAAACCGACACAGGUGGUCAGGUAGAGAAUACCAAGGCGCUUGAGAGAACUCGGGUGAAGGAACUAGGCAAAAUGGUGCCGUAACUUCGGGAGAAGGCACGCUGAUAUGUAGGUGAAGUCCCUCGCGGAUGGAGCUGAAAUCAGUCGAAGAUACCAGCUGGCUGCAACUGUUUAUUAAAAACACAGCACUGUGCAAACACGAAAGUGGACGUAUACGGUGUGACGCCUGCCCGGUGCCGGAAGGUUAAUUGAUGGGGUCAGCGCAAGCGAAGCUCUUGAUCGAAGCCCCGGUAAACGGCGGCCGUAACUAUAACGGUCCUAAGGUAGCGAAAUUCCUUGUCGGGUAAGUUCCGACCUGCACGAAUGGCGUAAUGAUGGCCAGGCUGUCUCCACCCGAGACUCAGUGAAAUUGAACUCGCUGUGAAGAUGCAGUGUACCCGCGGCAAGACGGAAAGACCCCGUGAACCUUUACUAUAGCUUGACACUGAACAUUGAGCCUUGAUGUGUAGGAUAGGUGGGAGGCUUUGAAGUGUGGACGCCAGUCUGCAUGGAGCCGACCUUGAAAUACCACCCUUUAAUGUUUGAUGUUCUAACGUUGACCCGUGAUCCGGGUUGCGGACAGUGUCUGGUGGGUAGUUUGACUGGGGCGGUCUCCUCCUAAAGAGUAACGGAGGAGCACGAAGGUUGGCUAAUCCUGGUCGGACAUCAGGAGGUUAGUGCAAUGGCAUAAGCCAGCUUGACUGCGAGCGUGACGGCGCGAGCAGGUGCGAAAGCAGGUCAUAGUGAUCCGGUGGUUCUGAAUGGAAGGGCCAUCGCUCAACGGAUAAAAGGUACUCCGGGGAUAACAGGCUGAUACCGCCCAAGAGUUCAUAUCGACGGCGGUGUUUGGCACCUCGAUGUCGGCUCAUCACAUCCUGGGGCUGAAGUAGGUCCCAAGGGUAUGGCUGUUCGCCAUUUAAAGUGGUACGCGAGCUGGGUUUAGAACGUCGUGAGACAGUUCGGUCCCUAUCUGCCGUGGGCGCUGGAGAACUGAGGGGGGCUGCUCCUAGUACGAGAGGACCGGAGUGGACGCAUCACUGGUGUUCGGGUUGUCAUGCCAAUGGCACUGCCCGGUAGCUAAAUGCGGAAGAGAUAAGUGCUGAAAGCAUCUAAGCACGAAACUUGCCCCGAGAUGAGUUCUCCCUGACCCUUUAAGGGUCCUGAAGGAACGUUGAAGACGACGACGUUGAUAGGCCGGGUGUGUAAGCGCAGCGAUGCGUUGAGCUAACCGGUACUAAUGAACCGUGAGGCUUAACCUUACAACGCCGAAG